GCUACCUCGAUGUUGAAUUAAGAAAAGUUCUAAUAGAAAAAAAUUAGAAAAUAGGUCUGUUCGACCUUUAAAUUCUUACAUGAUUUGAGUUAAGACCGGCGCAAGCCAGGUUGGUUUCUAUCUUUAAAAUAAAAGGUUUUAUAGUACGAAAGGACCUAAAACCAUAACAUAUUUAUAAUUAAUUAGCUUACUAAAAGCAAGUAUUUUGAAAAUACUAGAAAGAUAUAAAAAUUUAUUAAUUUUAUGU
rnacentral:misc_RNA from 1 species